UGACCUCAGAUCAGGCAAGACUACCCGCUGAAUUUAAGCAUAUUAAUAAGCGGAGGAAAAGAAACUAACAAGGAUUCCCCU
rnacentral:rRNA from 1 species